rnacentral:rRNA from 1 species
UACGAAGGGGGCUAGCGCUGUUCGGAAUUACUGGGCGUAAAGCGCGCGCAGGCGGUUCUCCAAGUCAGUGGUGAAAGCCCGGAGCUCAACUCCGGAACUGCCAUUGAAACUGUUGAACUUGAGGACGAGAGAGGUGAGUGGAAUUCCCAGUGUAGAGGUGAAAUUCGUAGAUAUUGGGAAGAACACCAGUGGCGAAGGCGGCUCACUGGCUCGUAUCUGACGCUCAGGCGCGAUAGCGUGGGGAUCAAACAGG